UACGGAGAGUGCAAGCGUUGUUCGGAAUUAUUGGGCGUAAAGCGCGCGCAGGCGGUCCUUUAAGUCUGAUGUGAAAGCCCACGGCUCAACCGUGGAGGGUCAUUGGAAACUGGGGGACUUGAGUACAGAAGAGAAGAGUGGAAUUCCACGUGUAGCGGUGAAAUGCGUAGAGAUGUGGAGGAACACCAGUGGCGAAGGCGACUCUUUGGUCUGUAACUGACGCUGAGGCGCGAAAGCGUGGGGAGCAAACAGG
rnacentral:rRNA from 1 species